UUUUUUUUUUUGCAAGAGAUCGCAUUUAAAAGUUAAGCUGAACAAGAGGUGUUAUUAGAAGUCUGAAAUGAAGUACUACAUGAGUUGUUGCUUCUCCAGAAAAUCUGAAAGCAGAGCAAAGUUUGGAAAGCCUUACUCUUUUAUCUUUUUUGAUUACUUUUCCUAUUCUCAUUGUUUUCUAAGACUGGAAAAUCACUGGACAUUCAGCUCAACUCAAUAAAUAGUUGUCUCUAACUGUUUGAUCUCCCAUAGUUUACAGGUAAGAAGAAUAUAGCCGUGACAGAGUUACGUUUAGAGUUUCAAAGCUAUGGUAACAUAGCCUUAGGAAAUGGUGAGACAACCUUAAGCUUGCUUAUAACUUUUUGGAUGACUUUAGACACGUUAUUGUGUUCUCAGUGCAGAUCUUUAUUUCUAGCCAUGCAUUUUUGAAGAUGCAUGUUCUGAAAUACUGUGUUCCACACAGUGGGCUAUCUCAGAGACUACAGAGUGAGUAGUGAUAAUGCACAGUCUUUACAUCAGCAGUAUUGCAUAAUUGUAAAAGGUUAGAUUACAAAAUAGUGCUACAACUACCUAGAAAAAUGAUGUAUGAUUCUGACCUAUUCUUGACUUAGGCUUUUUUUUUUUUUUUUUUUUUUUUUUUUUUUUCUGGGAGUAUUCCUUCUAAUCAUCACCCUGUUAUCUCAGCGCCUGAACUGCUCAAUUUUAAUUGCACAUUUUGUCUCUACUAUGUCUUCACAUAAUUAAUCUGGGAGAUAAAUAGUAGAUUAUGUGAAUUAUUAUUAGUUUACUCACAUAUAACAAGGGAGAUUUUAGUUCUGCUUUCCAAAAGUCAAGCAGUAACUGGUUUCCACUGUAGUAAAGUAUUCUAAAUCUGCUUUCCUUCCAAAAACUGAUUGCAUAGAUAUGUCCUCUUCUCACACAACAGGUCUGUUCCUUACAUUUUUAAAAGGCAAGUCUAUUUAUUUUAAUGUCAGAAAUAAUUUUACUUUCUUCCCUCAGAGGCAAAUAAGAAAGUCUUGUCUACUAUUCUUCUUUGAGGAGAUCCACUGAAAGUGAUUUAUAAAAGCCACUUAUACCCUAACUAAAUCACAGUGAGGCCACUCCAUGUAUACAGACUUCAUUUGGAUCACAAAAAACAAACAAAAAGAAAUUAAUACAUAAUGGGACUUAAGGAAAGGAGUUUAUGAAGGGAAACACUUAGGAAGAAGGACAAGAGGCAACAUGUCUCCUUUCUAUCCAUGUCACUAGUUUUGUAGAAUGUUUUGUGUUGAGUCGCAAGUUAUCCAGGUGAAGGCACAGUGGUGCAGCACUCCACUCUUACCAUCCGUUCUUUCAGCUGGCAGAAAACUUGACUUUUCAUGCCUGGCUCUUGAAAAGAAAACUUGUUACUGUAUGUAGUAGAGCUGAGGUGAGAAUCAUUGAGAAACUGCAAGUUGAAAGCACUGUAACACCAAUUCAGAGUGUAAAGUUUCUGACUAGAAUAACACUUUAACCUCUGUAUUUCAGUUUUUCCAUGUGUUAAAUGUGGCUCAGGAUAAUUACUUCCUUUCCUCACAGGGGUGUUGUGAGAAUUAAUUAGUUAACAUUUGUAUGGAUCUUCCUAGAUACAAAGUGUUAUAUGUGUGCUAAUUAGUUUGAUUAUUAUUAGCAGUGUGUCAUUUGCACUGUCAGGAAACCCAUACAUUAAUAAUCCAGAAUAACAGCUCAGAUUUAUAUAUUACAUUUUAGCUAACAGAUUAGAAAUGCCUCUCUUAAAAGAAACAGUAGAAGAAAUAAAGGUAUGCAUUGUGUAGCUAAAUAGGUUUGUCACCCAAGAGUGCCAUUUUAAUCUCAUAAACAUUAACAAAAUACUGCUGUAGUGGGUUUUAAUUCUCAAAGCAAUCAUGAAAACUAUUUUACCACAUAGGUGUUCUGGACACUGGAUCUUCAAUUACAGGGAAAAUUUAAAAGUGUGUAGAAAGAUGGCCUUUGGAUGAGAGGUAGCAUCCCACUAGAUAUGAAUAUAUCCAUAAUCAGGCUCUUAGAAUUGGCUAUAAUUAAGCAGUUGGCAGUAAAUCUCUCUGUAUAUGUUUCCAGUAGUGUCAUUCAUAAGGCUUGAGGCUAAAGCUAAUUCAUAUUGGCCUUAUGUACUAAGAAAAGCAAGAAUUCACUGGAAGUAUGCCCCAGGGUGGCACUUCUGUGUUAUAGGAGAAAGAACGUAUUAAAAGAAAAAGAAUGAGCUUUCAUGAGAACUGUAACAUAGGAAAACUCAUUUCCUAGAGAUGUGUCUGGAAGUCAUUCACACUGCCUUUCAAAGACCAGAACAAUAUUAUUAGAUAUACUAAGGGGGAAAAAAAAAAAGAAAAAAAAGAAAAAAAAAAGAGAAGUACCCUGUAUAAAUCACUCCAAAAAGCAAGUCUGACAAAUGAAGCUCUUAUAAUAGGUGAUGGUCCCUGUACUACCCUUUUUCGUUAAAUUUUCAUAAUCAGAAGUAACUGCAACUCAUUCCUCUCUUUGCUCUCUCUGGACUUCCCAGGCCUUUAUUCGUUUCCCUUUCCUAUUAUCAUCCUCUCUAUGUAACCUUUCUAUUUAUUCCAUUUUAUCCUUAUCGUGUCUUGAUUAAUUCCCUUCUCUUCCCACACAUCAUAAAUAAGAUGCUUCUCUUUCUGUAAUAACACUGUAUGUCAUGAAACACUAAUGUCACAGUGAGCUAUGCUUUUAUAUGUUGAAAGCAGUGAGUUACAUGACAAGAACAUUGCAACCAUAAACCCUCUGGAGUUGGGAAUAUAAUUCCUCUCCUAGUUAUGUGCCUAAACUGUCUCCAAUUUCAGGUUGGUGGAUGAUGGUUUGGUGAUGAUCCAGCAGUGUGUCGCGGUGGCCAAGAAGGCCAAUGUGAUUUUGGGUUCAUUAGAAGGAGUGUGGCCAGCAGGCCAAGGAAGGUGAUCCUCCCCCUCUUCUCUGCCCUGGUCAGGCCUCACCUGGAGUACUGUAGCCAGUUCUGGGCUCCCAGGUAGAAGAAAGACAGGGAUCUUCUGGAGAGAGUCCAGCAGAGGACCACAAAGAUGAUAGAAAGCCUGAAGAAUCUCCCCUAUGAGUGACGUGGCUCUGUUCAGCCUUGAGAAAAUAAGUAUGAGAGGUGAUCUUACUAAUGUUUAUAAAUAUAUUAAGUGCGGGAAUCAAAGAGACAUGGUCAACCUGUUUUCAGUGGUUUGAGGGGAUAGGACAGUGAAACGGCCAUAAACUGGAGCAUAGGAAGUUCUGCACCAAUAUGCGAAGGAACUUCUUCACAGUAAGGGUAACAGGAUACUGGAACAGGAUGCCCAGGGAGGUUGUGGAUUUUCCUUCUCUGGAGAUAUUCAUGACCUUCCUGGAUGCCUACCUGUGCAGUCUGCUGUAGGGAACCUGCUUUGCAGGCUUGAUGAUCUCUGGAGUUCCCUUCCAACCCCUAAAAUUCCAUGAGUCUGUGAUUUAGUUAGGGUAACCCAUGCUUAAGGAUCAUGUGCAUGUUAUGGCAUUUGGUGAAACAGCACUUCCCUGAUAAGUUCACAUCAAUCAAAUCUUUUAAAUUCCUAGCAAGUUUGAAGACUAAUAAAAGGCAACUAAGUAGUAAGAAAGCCUUUUUGGAUAGGAAGAUUUCUUUCCAAUAAUUCAGCUAAUCUGUUAUUACACAAAAUGCUUACCCUCUAAGGUAUGAUCCUUAUUUCAUAAAUUGUGCCAUCAACUGCACCAUCACUUAACUCCAGUUCAUGAAUUGCCCUUUUGAAAAUGAGGAGGAAGGACUGAAAAGGAAUUGGUGACUUCUGUGAGUUCUAUUAAUAAAGCUGAUUUAUAUCAGUCAUUCAAUUCUAACAUACUUAAUCAUCUGCAGUGUGAUACAGUGCAGUGAUCGUGGUGAAAAUUCAUCAGCUAAAGGUGACUGUUGGCAUCCAUAGUAUAGGCAGCAAAUAGCUGUGGAAGCAAGGGACUGGCUAGGUUGACUUUUCCCACUUCUUAAGAGGUCUGUGGCUGAAAUCUGACUUUUCAGUUAUUCCUUACAAGUGCUUUGUUAAUUUCUGACAUGCUCACCAAACUUUUCUCCUUUUUGUGUUCUUGCACUUCUGCAAAGCUGGAGGAGAGGGAAAUAAAAGAGAGUGCAUGCUUGUCUAAUCAUGGAAGUUUGCAUGCAUCUAUGUAUCUAUAUCUAUAUCCAUACCUAUGUGUGUCUACCUAUAACUAGCACUAUUUAAAUUUGGCUAUCAGAGUAAAAUAUGGAAAUAUAAUUUAAUAUUCAUUUAAUAUUCACAUAGCCCAUUUGAAUAACUUUUUACUGUGGUUGCUAUUAGAAAUAUCCAGCCAUUACUCUCUCCCCUCCUGCUUAGCUGAGGACUUUGCAAUAAAUCCUUUUGCCUUUUGGCAAAAUCAGAAAAGAAUACAAUGAAAUAGCUUCUUUAAAAAUAUGAAGAGAAGUGACCUGAGGCUAGCUGCAAGUCAGUGAAAAGGAAACAAAUCAUUUUUAUAAUGGUUGAUUCUCCUGGAAGAUUUCUAGUGAGAUCUUCGUUCACGUGAGUCUUUUUCAGGAAACAUUUUUUUUUACAGUGUAAACACUCAGUUGCUGAGAUUUCUGGUUACAGUCUUUGGUGGUUUCUCUCUUUUUUUAUGUUUUUUUUUUUUUUUUUUUUUUUUUUUUUUUUUCCCCCAACUAGUGAUUCACAGUCUUUGGAAUAUUUAUUUUCCUGACUGGAUCAAGGAUAUUCAUACUAAAAAGACAUAGCUUCCCUUAUAUGAAAUCAUGGUAUAUUCAAAUGCACUGCCUAUGUCAGUAACUUAAGACAUAUUUAAACACCUUUAAAUGUCAAAUACCCAUUUUUUGUGCUGGUAUUUUAUUAGAAAAAUAACCAUCAGAUAUCCUGCCUAGUGAAAUAAGUCUAAAAGAUCCUUAUAAUUGAGAGGAGACUUCAGGGAAAUAUGUGAAUAUUUAAUGAAAAAAAAUUAGCAUUGGUACAAAAGUUAUUUAACAACAAUUGUCUUUGUGAAGAUCCUGCUCUCUACAGUGCCUCAUAGUACUCUACAAGUAUUAAGCCUCUCCUGGAAAUGUGGAGAGAAAGUAUCCUUUUAGCAUCUGAAGGAAUACAAUAAUAAAGGUGUAGCUGCACAAGACUCAUGCAUUUCAAAGUCAUCUUUUUUUUUUCUACACAACAAUUACUAGCUAUCUACUAAUCUAAAUUGCCCCAUGCUGCUUGCAUUCUUUAAUUUUGCUACAUUUUUCUGUCUUAUUUCUUGAAUAUUAGUUAAUUUUUCAGGGUUUAUGGCAGUUUCACAUAUUUUACAUGCAUUAUCUUUUUUUUUUUUUUAAGAAGUGCAUAUUAGUAUCUCGUGAUUUAGAUCCUAGAGAACAAUUUAAUAUAUUUUUAUAGGACUGCUACAGGAACUUCACUAUUUUUUAAUUGGACUGUUGGAAAUAGCUCACUUGGCAUCCUUAUGUCUUUGGUCCCAGGCAUGCACUAUAAUUUCAAGACCAGAAAGGCUGAUUUCUUAUUCUGCAGAUUUCUACAUAGCAGCACAGCUGUGCUGCUGAUGGGACUGACCUUUGCUCACUAGUUAUUGAAUAUACAAAUGUUUUCUAAAGCCGUUGUGUAGCAAAAUUAUAAGCUGUUGUUUUUCUCUCAUGUACAUAAAUCACUUGUUCUAACAGAUAGGUUAGUUGCAUUUGAACCCUCAUCUGUAUUGAUUUGUAUUAUAUUAAUCCAUGGGUAACAGGGAAUGCUGCCAGAAGCAGGGAUUUAAUUUAAAACCAGAGAUGACCUAACAAUCAUGAAUUCCCAAAAUAAGGGAAAGUACAGAAAUAUGAAAAGAAAAUGUUAUCUUGUCAGUGCUUAAUCUUCUCAUAGCUACAUCAGUGAGAAGAUAAAUACUUUGAUGUUAUUACUGUUACAGUGGAUAAUAAUAUUCUUUUUUAUAUUUUCUUACUUUGUUUAAGGAUCCAAAAUCUUGAGGAAUACGCAGACAAUAAUUUAAAAAAAGCAGAUGACUUCAAAAUUAAGAAAACUAGACUUCUAGUUCUUCCAAACAUAAUGAAUACAGAAACUUUAUAAAUUGAUCUGUCUUCUGUUUCAAAGAACAGUCUUGCUUACUGUUUCUUUUGCCAGGGAACUGGACAUUAACGAAUUCGUUUUGUAAGCAACAGGUGGACAGUGAGGGGAAAAAGAAAAGAGAGAAGUUUAAAAAAGGUUAAAAAUCAAAACAAAUGGCAUUUUCAUGCCUGCCUCAAAAUGCCAGUCAGGCCUUCUGUAGAAACUAUGGCCAUGCACAAUACUGUGCUUCGCUGCAAUUGGUUUAUACCCGCUUGUACAACAAAUGGUACACAAAUAAUGAAAUUACAUAAUGGAAAGUCUUCUAGAACUGGAGUGCACAAUCUAUCUUCUCAUCACCUCCUUUUGAGAAAUGUAUCUUUAACUUUGACCCUUUCAGGAAGGUAGGAUAAAAAAAAAGUUAUUUUACAAAAUACAAACAAAUGAGUCAGACUAGAGCAGGAAUUUGACAUUUUAGUACAAGAUACAAUAAAAAUGACUAAGCAGAACUGAUUAGUGUAGCAUUUAUCCUGACUUUUGUAUUUGGUAGGAUUUCAGCCUGAAUUAAAAGAAAUUCUCCACUUUUUCCUCCUCUGUUGGUGAGUUAUAAUAUAUUGCUCUUUCAACACAUUACUGUUUUAUUCUCAUUGUUUCAAAAAAACUGCUUCUAUUCUUUUCCAGAUAACACAUAUCUGGAAUUUCUUCACAGUUAAGGACAUCUUAAGAGUAACAUUUAAAUGCUUGUAAGCUAGAAUCAACUCCUUCCUUCUAACUGCCAAGUUUUUCAAGAAGGGAGUUCCAAUAUAAUGAAUCAAAUACAACUAUCCAGUAUAUCACGCAAAGAUGCUAUGAGACAGUUAAAGACUGAUAAAGACGUAUAUAUAUGCUUACAAACCGAUCCAUAUUUAGGCUUAGAGAACCUGAGUCAAAAGCAAGUACAUUGAGCUGAACAGAUAAACGUCAACUCUUGGCCUCGUAGAUACUGUUAAUAAAACUAUCACUUAAGUAUCAAUUAUUCAGCAUCAUUAUUUAGGCUGUGAUACAUUACAGGCAAAGCUACUUGAAGACAUGCUAUGUCCAGAAGGAUGAUUCUACUCCACACCUUUCUGCCAUGUUUUUUUUUUUUUGUGUGUAAGUACUGUGGAACAUACAGUAACAUGGUGAGCUGUACUGACUGCAAACAUUUACAAAAUAACAUUAUUGUUCAGUUGCAUCAGGAAUUCCUCAGAAGACAUAUUAUUUAUAAUCACAGUAGAAGGGAUGUAGGAGCAUGUGCCUGGGGGCUAUUUUGACACCAAUAUGUCCAAGAUUAACUUUAAAUGUCUUACAACAAGAGAAACAAUAUGUAUGUUGGAUGUGCAUACAAGAAUAACUGCUAAUUGUCUUUUUGGGCUUCCUUAAAUAAUGUGUUUGUAAAUAAAAUUUUACAGCAGCCCACAGGAUGCUGUUCCAAUGCACUGUCCUGGGAUACGAACUGGUAUGUGCAAAAGUUACAGCAACCACAUCUCACUUCAAAGCCAGCAAAAAGUUGACUCAUCAUGAUCCUUUUUUUUCUACACAGAACUGAGAGAUUUUGAGGAAUACUUAAAAAAAGAAUACCACUUUAAUUUGUCAGUUCACAUUUCUAACCAUUCACACACCUUCAAAGCUUAGUUAUUCUUUCACUUAAGGCAUGCAGUUGUGCUGGAAUAUGCUUCAUAAAUCUAUGUUAUUGAUACUCUGGAUUUUAACUUAACAGGGACUGUCCAUGUUGCAUACAUAUGCAAAAGUUUAGUCAAGUAUAUGUGCUUUAAAUCUUCUGCCCCUUUCCUCCCUCCUUAAAUACUAAAUAUUUUUUGUCUUGUUCAGGUACUAAUGAUGUUAUAAAAUACAGACAGAAAAAUUAAAUAGCAUUUAGUGUUGAUGGAAUUUGUGAUAAUUGUUUGAACUUCAGUGAUUAUUUUGAUCCUAAUCAAAAUGAUUCGAUUUAUUUAUUUAUUUAUUUUCAAGGAAAUUUCUUCAGAUCAUGUUGGCUUAAUUUUUUUUUUCAUUAUCAUUUCUCAUCCCUAAUGAAUACUUAAUGAUGCUCAAGUUAUAUCCACAGCUUUUGUGAUAACUCACAAUAUUUCAGAGUCCAUCCCAGAAUGAAAGAACCAAUUCUCAUGCUGUGCUUUGUUUCCUUGGCUUGUGUGAGUUUACUGGGUAGAUGAGAGUUCAGCAUAUGUUCCUUAGAAUACUUAGAAUGUUUCUGAUUAAAUAAAUUUAAAAUGUAAUUUAAGUUAUUAUUUAGCAUGCCCUCUAGAAAGAAAAUACAUGGAGGUGUUUUAUAAAAGAACACCUGAAUGAUGCUGUGUGCUCUUCUGAGCAGCCUUUGACCAAAGAGAGAAUGUGAAACAAAGAUAAGAAAGUUUACUUAACACCACACUCUUAUGUAUUUGUACUGACUUACCUGAAGGAAGGCACAGGACUUGUUCCCUUUAUGAUCCACAAAAGGAAACAAACAAUAAUUGGGGUAAUGUUUGUGUGCUGUCUCCUACUGAAAUACUCACAAGGACCAGGACACAAGGGGGGCUCUUGUACUACAUUGGAAGUAGUACAGUAGUGUCAGAUAAGCUUUCCUCACUGCUGCACACUGCUGGAGCCCAAAUAGUGAAUAAUAUGAGCAGAUAUUUAGUCAACUACUACUACUUGACAUACCUUUCUUCCAUAUUGUAAUAUUUGUUGCCCAUGCCCUGGAGUAAUUGUCCUACUGUAUUUUUAAUAAUCACUUCAUUCUUGCUAUACCCAUGAAAUAUUGUCUUUAGACAAAAAGUUCACCCUGGAGGUAGCAUACCUUUUCACUUUCUGCAGUUCAAAGGAGAGUGCCUUUGGCCUUGCCACUGUUUGAAAAUUUAAUGUUUGUAAUUUCCUCAUUGCCAGCAAUAAAAGUAACAGUGGGACUGACUUCUAUACAGACGAGUUUCAUCAUAUAUCUUUUUAUCACAGCUAAGAAAUGACUGAAACACAGGGCUCUAGCUCUGCUAAUGGCAUAUUGGUGUGUGGUUGCUAUGCUGCUGUUGCUGCUGUAAGAUGGAUAUUAUUUCUUCUUAGCAAAUUGGCAUAAGUGACUUCCCCCUACUCCCCCUCUUCUCCACUGCUAACAGAUGGAACAACAGUCUUCCCAUACUCAGUAGGAGAUAUGGGAAUUAGUAGAAGUCAUCUAGCUGUGUCAUCAGGGAAUGUGUUGUUGAUGCUUGAACUAGCAGAUCGGUAUUUUUGCUGUUCUGAGUUUGUAACUAGCACUUCUUUUGCCAGAGGCUGUUUUUGUGUUUGUUGUUGAAAAUAUAAAUUCCUUCCCUCCUCCCAGUCUCCUAGACCAGCAGUAGAAGCUUUCGUAGGCUGCUGACAAACCUUUCAUGGAAAUCUUCUGGAGGAGGAAAUGCUGCACUAUCUCAUGGAUAAAACUUUAAAAUUCAACAUAGUCUUUACUGUUUACAAUGCCCAAAUGGAAUGUGGAAAGAAAACAGAGUACUUGCCCACAGAACCCUAAGAUUAUUUAAUUAUUUGAACCUAGAAGUGCAUGAAUAAAUGCUGUCCCAUCAGAUUUCUUUGCUGGUUGAAUUCUAGACUACUCAUGAGUGUAAAGAUUCUUGUAUUUGCAGCUGUUUGAUGAGUUCAAACACUAGCCCUGUAUGCAGUUUACAGUUUACCAGAUGUACAUAAUAGAGAGACAACAAAAAUUAUGUUAUUUUGAUGACUUUAUUUUUUCUCUUUUAGUUCUGUGAAUUCUGUACAGCUCUGAACAUGAUUUACAGUUGCAGCCUUGUCAGAAGUUAAAAGAACUUCAUACCUUCAUUUGUUCUCACUGAACUUAGAUUUUAUGUGAUGUAAGAUUUGUAAUGGUGUUGUGCGUUGAAAUGGAAGUGCAAAGAGAUUCCUUAGGAUGCAAUUCGUUUGCAGCUCACUGCCUCUGAUUGAUAUGAAAGGCUGUUUUACACACUGUUAAUGGAUUUGGGCCAUAGCAAUAUUUUACGCUUUACAAAAAGCUGGGUUUUAGGUACAGUGGCAACUCUGGUGGCUUGCCAGAAUAACUGACCUUGGUUUAUCAGUGGGAGUCAUAGAAUCAUAGAAUAUCCUGAGUAGGAAGGGACCCAUAAGGAUGAUUGAGUCAGCUCCUUGGUCCUUGCAUGACCACCCAAAUUUCAAACCUUAUGUCUGAGAGCACUGUCCAAACGCUCCUUGAACUCCGGCCCUGGGCAGCCUGAUCCAUGCCCACUACCCUCUGGUGCAGCCUAGAAGCCUUCCCUAACACCCAGCUGCCCCUCCCCUGACAGCUCCAUGCUGUUCCCUUGGGCCCUGUUGCUGUCACAGAGAGCAGAGCUCAGUGCUGCCCCUCGUCUCCCUGUGAGGAGCUGCAGCUGCCAUGAGACCUCCCCUCAGCUCCUCUGCUCUGCGCUGAGCACACCAAAGAACCUCAGCCAUUUCUUUUGUCUUCCUAUCUAGACCCUUUUCCAUCUUUGUAGUGUAUGAGUCUCUAUGAUGUCAGCCUUCAAGACCAUAGCAUUCAUGGUGAAAUGGUAGAAGUGAAGUUUUUUUUAUCGAGAAGUCCUUUGAGUAAUACAGGACAGAUGGAUGAACUCAGCUGUUUUGAUAGUCAGUCCAGUAAAAGUGGUAAAAUGCAGAGAAGGCUGACUGGCAGUUGGAGGUUGAAAAUCAAGGAUAUUCUUUUGGGUGGGUACCUUUGUAGUUAUUCAUUCAUAACUCACUGCAGGACAUUUCACAUAAGAUGCUGUGAAAACAUAGACUUUCUGCCAAAUGUUUGGAUUUUGGACAGAGAUCUCACUUGCUUACACUGAUAAUAGUAUAAACAUUACAUGGGGGCAGGAAAAAAACACAGAAACAAACAAUUUUAUAUUGUUAAAAGGAGGUCCAAAAUAUCUUGGCAGUGACCAGUUUGUUAUUUACUGCCUCAGGUUUCCUUGCCAGCAUUUAAAUUAAAAUGGACUAGAAUCAAAUCACUUCUAUCAGUACCUUGCUCUAACCUUUGGUUAAGCAGAUCAUUUUCAGCUUGUUAGAAUGUUUAAUCUAUAACAAAACUGCAUCACACUAUCACUCCUUGGCACAUUUGUUUGACUGGUGAAUAGGAUCCUACCCAGGAUCAUUUUCCUGCACAGCUACAGAAUUUUAAUUCCAUGGUCUCUUUAUAAGCCACUUGAUGCUGUCAUCUGCCUAGUUUGCAAAACAUUUUUUCUCCUUCUGAGAAAUGUGAUUUAUUAUAUUAUUACCCAAAGAGAAUGUCAUUUCAGUAGUGCCAAAUGUGCACCAUUCAAGAGAAAAAGACAUUCAAAGAGAAAAGAUCUUCACCGUUACAGUGAGGCUCUGUGGUCUGUGAAGACAUAUUUCAUUCAGUUCUAAAACCUCCUCUCCAAAUAGUUCAAGAUUGUCUAUUUGUGUUAAUUUCUUUUGCUUAGCACUGGUGACAUAUUUGUCAGUACUCAAUGACCACACUUUCACAGAAUGAUGACUACGGACAAAGCCAACAACAAAAAAAACUCACAGACUUUUCUAGAGUAGCCUCUCCUACUUUCUGUGACAUGCCAUAAUUUCAUCUCUGUUUUUAGAACUUGCAGCAUGCAUCAGAAAUGUUGAUGGUUCUUUUUAAAUUUCAUAUGAAAAUCAAGAGAGAUAUUAACUGAAUUUCUUACAAAAUAGAGAGUUGACGGAUCCCAGUUCUAUGAAGUGAGGAAUCCAGUGAGUUAUAUUUGUUACACUUAGACAGCUCACAGUCAAAGACAAGUGGUAAUAACAAGAAGUCAUAUUUGUUCACAAGAGAAUAUUGCAUGCUAUGAAUGCACAUCCAAAUAUUAACUAAGUUGCAUUUUCUAUUUGUUUUAAUAUGUCUAUUUGUGAAUGGCAGCCAUAAAGAUAGAAAUGCUAGGUUUUUUUUUGUUUGUUUGUUUUUUUAAAUGAGUACUCUCAGAGCUGUAAACUCUUACUUAAGAAAUAAUUGUCUAGAGAAGAGAUUUCUUUCAGUAGAUGAGUGUUAUUAAGAAGUAUUUCCUGACCUGAAACUACCUCUUGGGGAAGAAAAGCAGUAGGCUGAUAAGCACAUUUCUUAAUUCUCAAGAAUUCCACUUUGUGUAUAAAGUAAGAGAGAAUCCCAGGACAGAUGUGAAAAGGCUGACGUGGAGAUGAUAUGUCAAACUUAACUGGCUUUGAAAAAAGGGUUAAAUAACCUUGGUUCAACCAAAGCGAAGGGUUAAGAGACUGACAACCUCAUCAGUUAAGAAAAUACCAAAAGUAUCCUCUCAAGAUUACUGUGACUAUAGCUAUAUAAUCUAUCCUUUUCUGUUCUUUCAGGUUCCUUCUCAGCAGAUGAUAGAUUGGGAAGCAAAACCCAGUGGCUCUCUCUGUUCUAGCUUCUGCAGUUCAAAUGUCCUGCUGCUUCCAUACUUGAUUAUGGAUUUGAUGUGUAUUUAGGGGCAGUAUUUAGUUCAGAAAAUUUAUGUUAUUAAACUGUUGGCAUGAUUUAUGUAUGAAUUAGACAUCUGUUCAUAGUUCUGUCAGUCGUCUCACAAGAAGAGCCUUCCUAAGACAUUUAAUGAUGAAGAAAAAAGAAUGCAGUGUAGAAAAUUCUACUGAGCAGCUUAUGUUGCAUCCAUAUGACAAUUUUAUCAAACCCUAUGAAUUUUUUUUUUUUUUUAAUUCAGGUUAGCAAUCUUUGUGGAAGAGGCAAUAAUCAAAGGCAAAUGCAUCCAAUUUGUUAGAGCAUCAUACUUUCAAUUUUAUCGUUGGGAAGAUGGUUUUUGUUCCUUUAUAAAGUAGCUUUUAGCAUCAUGGGCACAGGUGUUUUUUGUUAUUGUUGUUUAGUUUUGUUUAUAUAUAUAUAUGUAUGCGGAUGAUUGCUAACUAAAAUCAUUGCCAUAUUAUUGUACAAAGAUAUUACUAAAUUUUGAUAACUAGAAUAUGCCUCUAGUGAGGAAAGAUCUAUUCCUAACACCACAUGGAUUUUUUAAAUUCCCUGUUUCAUGUUGUGUCCUACCUAUAUAUAUAUGCAAGUUUUAAAAUUUAAAGUGUUCAAAUAUAACUUUUCAGUAUAUUUCACUGGAAAAAAGAGUUUUGCUUUAAAAAUCCUUCAGCUUAAGUUUUUGUUUUGCAUGCAUAUAUUUCCCCACUGCAAUUCCUUUUCUGUUUUCAUCAAUGUUGUAUGAGAGAAGAAAGGAAAAGGAUACAGGGAAUACUUUUAUCAACGACUCCACAUCUUGACAAGGAGUACAUAUUAGAGAAAGCAGCAAACAUACUGUUAGGUAUGAAGCAACAGUAAGACAUAUACUUUUCUGCUCCAGUCCUUUCAGUUUUGUUCCAAGAUAUUAUUAUAACAGUCUCAAAUAUAUUAUACGUACUUUCAGUUUAAGAAAUAAGGGAUUAUUUCAGAAAAUAUCUCAGCUUGAUUCCCUCACUAUUGUAGUUUAUCCCAAGGGGAAACAAUUAGAUGCAUUCACUCAUGUACUUUGUCUGAUAAUCGCUAUAGCAGUUAAAUUUCAGCAGCAUUUCUUAUCUAGUUCUAUUAUCAUUAAUUCUAUUUUAUUUAAAAUGUUAAUAUCUGGGUUAAAAUCUUCCACAGGCAUAUUCUGAUACAUCUAUCCUCCCUGAAAAGUAUGAGCAAAAAUAUGUUUAUUAAAACAAAUUCAAAAACUACUUUUCUGCUAUAUACCUAACUUGAAAUAUUUUAAAAGUAAGAGAAGCAAGAACACAGCUGGGGGUAGAAAGUGAAAAGUGAGCCAGAAAAUAAUCUUGACUGAGAAGUAUUUUUGAACAGUUCUGUUGGUAAUCAAAUUUUGUUUCACUUAGUGAAUUUAUGAAAACAAAUACAAGCCACAUCCCCGACAAACAUGUACAGAUCUCACACCAUAAAAUGAAGAACUCUUGUUUACUGCUGAUGAAAAUAUAUAGUUACUGUUGAUGGUAGUGUUGAAAAAUAGUUUUUAUGUAGCUGAGAAUUUGCUCUAUCAAAUAGUGUUGUAUUCUUUGUUGUAGUUAUCACGGGAAUAAAUAGGAGGCAUUACUUUUGGGGAGACCUACAUAAAUUGAACUGGGCAGAAUAUCACAAACCAGAGAUCUUUAUGUUUCUCUGAACAUGAUAGGUUCUAAUGGCAUAAAAUUAAGUUUUUUCUUUUACUUUUUUCAAAUGCUCACCCCACUGUUAACACACAGGACACACUGAAGAGAUAAGAAGCAUACAUGUCAACAUUUUCCAAAUACCUGACUCUCUUUUUUGUUUUGUUUUGUUGAAACAAAACUAUUUUUUCAAAGGAAGGGAUUACAUUAACCGUGAUCAUAAAAGACUUUAGCUAAUUUGUCUAUUUUCAGUAACGAAGACUAGGAAAAAGGAAACUAAUAAAAGUGAUGCUUUGUUGUUUAGAGAUACCAGCUGUCCUACAUGGCUACCCAAGAAGUGAUAGCAGAGGCUAAUAGAAAGGCUAAUAGGGCCCUGCAAUAGAGGAACAUGCAAUGAUAAAUGAUGGCUUGUUUCCCAUAGUUGAAGGGCAGCCUGGAAGGUUUUGGGAAAAUGUACAGAGGCUGAGGUAAAACAUCAUUUGAACAGUCUUAUGACUUUGUUUUGUUUUAUGUUGUUUUUCUCCAAAGCAUUUUUCUUCCAGUGAUAUCUUGAUUAGACAAAAAAUCUUUCUUUCUUUUUAUUGAAAUAUCUGCUCAAAAGUAGCUAAAGGCUUGCAUUUGGGUGUGAGACCAAGUGUAAGAUCAUGCACCCAAGUGCAACGUCCUGCAUCUGAGUCAGAGCAAUUCCAAGCACAAAUACAGGCUGAGCAGAGAAUGGAGUCAGAUCAACAAUGUGGAGAAGGUUUUGAGGGUUCUGGUGGACAAAAAUUUUGACACAAGCAAGCAGAGUUGCAUUUGCAGACUGGAAGGCCACCUGUAUUCUAGGCUGUGUUUCUAUUCUGCCCUUGUAAGGCCCCAUCUGGAGUACUUCAUCCAGGCCUGGGGCCCUCAGCACAAUAAAAGCAUAGAGGAGUUGGAGCAGGUCCAGAGAAGGGCCACAGAGAUUCUCAGAGGGCUGAAGCAGUUCUCCUCUGAAGACAGCUUGAGGGAGCAGAGCUUGUUCAGCCCAGAGAAGACUCUGGGGAGACCUCACUGUGACCUUCCAGUACCUAAAAGGUGUCUACAGUAAAGAAGGAGAGAGCCUCUUUCUCGGAGAGUGUAGUGACAGGACAAGAGGUCUUGGUUUUAAACUAACGGAGGGUAAGUACAGAGGGUAAGUUUAGAUUAGACACAAUGAAUACAUUUUUUACUGCAAGGAUGGUAAGGCACUGGCACAUGCUGCCCAGAGGAACUAUGGAUGCCCUGUCCCUGGAGAUGUUCAAGGCCAGACUGGCUGGGGCCAUGGGCACCCUGAUCUAGAGGGCAGCAACCAUGUCUUAUGGCAGUUGACUGAAACUGGAUGGUCUUCAAGGUCCUUCCAAACCCCAAUCAUUAUGUGAUAAUAAGUCUGUAUUGCUUGAAAAAUAAAUACUAUGUUUCAAAUAAUUAAUUCUGUUUUUAUUCUUUUAAGAGAAGAAGAAACUUCAGUUUGAACUAUAAGUCAAACAAACAUUCAAGCAAUACAGACUUAUUAGGCCAAGAACUAGAAAAUGUUUAGAUGUUUCUUCCCUUUAUGCAAUCUAAAUAAUCUUAUUUUAUUUUAUUUUAUUUUAGUAAUGUUUGUGUCAGUAAUUAAUAGAAAGUGUUUCAAAGCUACCUUCUCUUAGUGUGUUUGGCAUCUUCAUACUAUUGAUACCGACAAGUUGAUUCUAAAAAUUAAUUACAUAAUACAUGUUGUUGAUUUAGUUCAGUUUAAUUUUUUAAAUCACAGUUCCAUGUCAUUUAAAAUACAGAGCUAGAAUAUAGGAAUAAAUUGAUUAGUCUAACUUAGAAGACAAAAUUUAUUUAAUGUCAGUGUCCAGAAAUACAAAGCAUAUACAUGUCUGUAAGGGUAUGUUAGAGCAAGGUUGUAUUGUAACUGCAAGGCAAUGUUUUCAGUCUGUAGCAUAUUUUUUGCUACUUCAUUUAAAGAGUUAUCAUGACCUUGUGUGGUUAACACUGUUGUGUAUUUUACAGAAGGGUCCUACUGCAUGGGUAGCUUUCAGUUAUGAAUAGAUGUGCCGUUUCUUUUCUUCCUGCAGUACAGGGAAAGAAAAAUCCUACAACAUAUAUACCAUAUUUGGACAUGAGCCAGCAGUGUGCACUUGAAGCCCAGAAGGCCAACUAUGGCUGGACUGCAUUAAAAAAAACAGUGGCCCGCAGGGAGAGGGAGGUGAUUGUCCCCCUCUACUCAGCUCUUGUGAGGGCCCAUCUGGAACACUGCUUCCAGGCCUGAGGACCCCAGUACAGGAAGGACGAGAAGCUCUUGGAGUGGGUCCAGAGAAGGGCCACUAAGAUGAUCAGAGGGCUGGAGCACCUCUCCUGUGAGGAAAGGUUGAGGGAAUUGGGCUUUUUUAGGUUGGAGAAGAGAAGGCUCCAGAGAGACCUCAUUGUGGCCUUCCAGUACUUGAAGGGAGCAUAUAAACAGGAGGGGGAAUGACUGUUUACAAGGGUGGAUAGUGAUAGGACAAGGGGGAAUGGUUUUAAACUAAGACAGGGGAGGUUUAG
ensembl:lncRNA